rnacentral:lncRNA from 10 species
CUGGACCUGGGCACCGCCAGCCGCCUGGGCACGGGACUGGGCGGGGGCGCUGACCUCGGCCUAGGAGGCCCAGGAUCCCGGAGACGCCCGCGCCCUCAGGACCCUGCGGGUCGCACGCCCUCCCCAGCUUCUGCUGCUCGCCGCUCUUCGGCAGGGCGAGGUCAGGUGCCCCCUUCUCGCCUCUCUUCUCUUCUCUUCUCUUCCUCCUCCACUUCUGUGCCCGCGGAGACUCCGGCCGCCCCCUUCCGCAGGGGUGUAGUAAUCUGCGGAGCUGACAGCAGCCCCGCAGCCACCCUGCCCGAAGUCUCCGGAAGCGGCACGAGCUCAGGCCGCCGCAGCCCCGGCGGACCCACUGUUGGACCUGAGGAGCCAGCCCUCCUCCCGCACCCAAACUUGGAGCACUUGACCUUUGGCUGUUGGAGGGGGCAGGCUCGCGGGUGGCUGGACAGCUGCGGAGCCGCGAGGGCAUCUUGCCUGGAGACCGUCGGCUGCACUCCCGGGCUCCUGGCUUUGCCUCUGGGAUCCCGAGGUGUCCACAUCAGACGCAUGUUGACUGAGACCUAGAGUCAUGGAUGUAUGCGUCCGUCUUGCCCUGUGGCUCCUCUGGGGACUCCUCCUGCACCAGGGCCAGAGCCUCAGCCAUAGUCACAGUGAGAAGGCGACAGGAACCAGCUCGGGGGCCAACUCUGAGGAGUCCACUGCAGCAGCUAGUCAUGGAAGAAAACAGAGAAAACAUGGAGCCCAAAGGGAACUGCAGCAAGAGCACAAAGAUUCAAGGAUACUGCGAGCAAAUGGGGUGGAGGGGUGCUCUCCUGACCUACAGAAGGAAUGGUCUGGUGGCUAAGAUAAAACACAAGUCAAACUUAUUA